rnacentral:rRNA from 1 species
AGUCGAGCGGUAGAGAGAAGCUUGCUUCUCUUGAGAGCGGCGGACGGGUGAGUAAUGCCUAGGAAUCUGCCUGGUAGUGGGGGAUAACGCUCGGAAACGGACGCUAAUACCGCAUACGUCCUACGGGAGAAAGCAGGGGACCUUCGGGCCUUGCGCUAUCAGAUGAGCCUAGGUCGGAUUAGCUAGUUGGUGAGGUAAUGGCUCACCAAGGCGACGAUCCGUAACUGGUCUGAGAGGAUGAUCAGUCACACUGGAACUGAGACACGGUCCAGACUCCUACGGGAGGCAGCAGUGGGGAAUAUUGGACAAUGGGCGAAAGGCUGAUCCAGCCAUGCCGCGUGUGUGAAGAAGGUCUUCGGAUUGUAAAGCACUUUAAGUUGGGAGGAAGGGCAGUAACCUAAUACGUUAUUGUUUUGACGUUACCGACAGAAUAAGCACCGGCUAACUCUGUGCCAGCAGCCGCGGUAAU